UGGGCAAGGUGGGUCCGUCCCCUAACUCGGACCUUAUAAAGCGCGCCCGCUGCUCCCACAAAGCCGGGCUGUCCCAGGCUGAGGCGGUUGCUCCCCUGCCGGGUGUGUUAGAAGCAAGUUAGAGGAAGAAGGUCUUGGGGACUACGGGCGCCACCGAGAACCCAUACGAGGCAGCCGCCGACGGCGGGUCGCCGGGGCGGGGCCAGAACGGCGCCAAGGCCAACCAGAACGGCGGCAAGAACUAGGGGGACGCGGGGCAGGUGCUGUGGGAGUUGGCUGGACCUGUGGGAUCGACGUCUGCGCCGUCCAGGAGCCGCCCAGGGGAGAGAGCGGAGACUCGGGAGGAGGAUGUGCGCUCCGACCCGGGCAAGGCUUCCCAUCCCUCCCUUCCUCUUCUCUCCUUCCCUCCACCUGGGCUCGGAGUCAGGAUCUGACCGCGGGCUCUGCCCAGGAAGACCGAGUUCCUUGAGAGCGACACCUAAGCGCCGGGGAAGACAGGGAUAGAAGAGACGACAGCCCUUUGAUAAGAGGGUUUUUAGACUAACUUCCACCUGUGACGAGUGCAUGGGGCCUGCGCCCUGAGAGGUUGCCUUUCCUUUUCCUCUCCCACCCUGGGGGUUUGUGGUGAUGUUAAGUUCUGUUAGGACCAAGGUGGAUCUCAGUAAGGAGGUAGAGUAGAUUUGUGAACAGCUGUCGGAGGUAGAAUCUUUGCAGACCCAGAGUGGGUGGGUGUAGACACUUUGCCAUGGGUGGUAGCUUUAUUUGUAAUCCUCCCAGUGAAAGCUUUGGGAAAUCCAGCCCUCCCAAACUCUUGCCUUUCUUGUAAGACUUUCUAAGCGCAUGGCUUUGUCGUAAGACUUCUCGUGGCCAUGUGUCUCACCCUACCGUUCGUCUCACCAAUGAACCAGAGCUGGGAUACCAGCAAAAAGGACCCAAAAGACUGUUUCACCACAAUUGAAGAGGUCGUGGACCAUCCCCCAAAAUGAAUCCCAACACUGGAAGACCAAGAGGGUUGACGUUUGCUAUCUUGAAAGCUGCAGCCCCCGUAGAGAAGAUCCUAGAGCAGAAGGAGCACAGGCUGGGCUGCCAUAGCAUGGACCCCCAAAAAGCCACUGUCAUGAAGAAAUAUCCUGUGAAGAAAAUCUUUGCAGGGCACCUGAACUCCCAAAGCCACUGAGGAGAAGAUGGAGGCCAUUGAACUUUCAGUGGAUCCAAAGUCUAACAAAAGACAAUGUCUUGUUUUCGUCACCCCCCAAAGAAGAGGAACCUGUGAGAAAUAUUCUGGAGAAAUUUAACACCAUCAGUGGAAGCAAGGUGAGGAGUCUCUACCUCCAUGUGCCUCCCCUCCUGCCUCUGGAGAGGUAGCCCUUUGGUUAAUGGCAACCCAAUAGGGUAACCAACCAUCCCAUUUUAGCAUUGAGAGCAUUGUGUCCUGGGAGACCCUUCCCUGGAAUGUAAAUAAUCCUGGUUUUAGCAACAAAGUGUGGAAGGUUGGAGGAAAUGCACAAAACCCGUAAGUUUUAGAGGGUCUGAAAGCAACAUUGUCUAUCAAAUGGAUACGGCACAGAUUAUUCAUCUUUACUUGUUGUCACCCAUUUGACCACUGAUACUGGCAACCAUAAUUUGUAGUUCAGAAUGGUCAUCCAUCCAUCGUUGCAUCAUUCAAAGUGAUGUGGCUUAAGUGUAUAUAAUGAUUAUUAAUAGUUCAUCUUCGACUUUGCCUGUGGAUUAAUUGGUGUGCUUUGUAACAAGAUAGUGCUAGUUUAAUUUUUUAACAUUGUGAAUAUUGUGACCAUGUUUUCUAAGAGGUCAGAUAAUGAGAAUGGUUAUAAUACCAAUGCAACCAUGACCCCAUCACUGAAGAAGAAGGCUAAACGACUAUGUAAUUUUGAUGAUGGAUGGAAGGACACAUACUACUGAACUAGGAAGGUAAAUAACCAAAACAGAGCAUACUACAUAAUAUACAGAAAAAAAUUUGAGAUUGGACAUGGUGGAGAAGGGGAUGUGCAAGCACAUAUGGAGGGCAAAUCUCACAAGUAAGAUGGGACAGGUGAAUGCUUCUAAACCAAUCAAAAAUACCUUUGUUUCCCCAAAAGACACCAAUGCUCAGUCAAAAAUAGCAGCUGCUGAAUUAGCAUGGGCAUACCAGGCAAAUAAGCCUGCAUUGUCAUAGCGUUCCCUUGAUUGCUCUAUGAAACUGAGUAAAGUUUCAUUUCCUGAUUCAAGAAUUGCAGCUAAAAUAUCCUCUGGACAAAGAAGAAGGGAAAUUUUUUGAUAACAGAUGUGUUGGCUCCUUACAGUAUAAAGCCAAUUUCUGUCAUAUCUCACCAACAAUCCUGGUUUCUACAGUACAUCAAUUUUAAGUAAUAUGCCAAAUCAUGGCAGCAAAAAUAUGUUCCCUCUAGCUGUUAGGUACUUUGACUUGAAAACAGGAGUUUCAAAUCAUCUUCUUCAUUUCUGUGAGGAUUUUAAUGAAACUGCUGAAAUCAUAAAAUAUUGUUGAUAUUUUGUCUAAAUACAAACUAGACUUAGCUCAUCUAUCUGUGUAUUCGUCAGACAGUAUAGAUGUAAAAUUUUGGCAAAUUGCAUUCAGUCUACAAACUUCUUACCAAAGAAAAUGAAAAGAUCUUAUCCAUUCAAUGCCUUGUACAUCUUAUAUACAACACUGCUAAAAAGGGAUGUGAGUUGCUUAAAUGUGACAUUGAGACUUUCAUAAUGAAAGCUUUUGGUUACUUUUCAAUUUCCUCAAAAAGUGCAAAAGCACUUAUGGAGAUUUUUGACUUCACAGAAAUGGAAGGUAACCUCUUUAGACGUGUGCCUGCAAGAUGGCUGUCAUUGUAAGUGAGCCAUAGAAACGAUGCUAAAAUGUUGGCCUGCCAUAAGAUCAUAUUUUCAAAGGACAAGAAUAAUGUCCUUUGACAUUGUUUGAAAUCUGAAAGGAGAAAAAAAUCAAGAAUCUGAAGUGGGCCUUAAAAAAAUCAGUAAGUCCCUUGUGACUCUGAUUUUUAUGAAUCUGUCUCUCAAAAGCCAGGGUGCCCCCAGAAGAACUGAGACAAACUGAGUUUCUGAACAUUUGAAAAUGAGGAGCAGGCUCAGGAUCCACAGGGUGUAACCAUCCCGUGAGGCCCUGCCUGAGCAGCCAGCCAGUCAGUGAGGCUCUUCACCUUACUUCCAUUUCUCUGAUUCCAUCUAUGUACAACUUACGAAAACUUGCAUUAUUAUAGACUGGGAGUUCUUAAAUUGGAAUCUGUGAAUCUAAAGGGGCCAGAGGAUAGAAAUCAGGAAAUCUGAAAACUUCGAUGGAAAAAAGUUUUUAUUUAUUUCCAUCAGGAAAAUAGGCAACAAACCACAGCAGUAUUAGUACCUGUGUCUCUGUCAUCACUAGGAAUCACAGAUAUCCACGUUACAGAUAUCUUAAAAUAUUUAUGUACAGCACCACUCUGAAAUUAUGGUAAUAAUUAGAUCCACCCCCUAGGUCUUGUAAUCUUUAAUAUGUUAAUAAAGAAGCACAUCUAUUAUGUGACAGAUUUAAAUGUUUAAGAAUUUGAUUUCAAUGAAAUUGCAUUUCAAUAAAAUUGGCUUCCUUUGCAA
ensembl:lncRNA novel transcript